UUGACCUCGGAUCAGGUAGGACUACCCGCUGAACUUAAGCAUAUCAAUAAGCGGAGGAAAAGAAACCAACAGGGAUUGCCCCAGUAACGGCGAGUGAAGCGGCAACAGCUCAGAUUUGGAAUCUGGCCCCCAGGGCCCGAGUUGUAAUCUGGAGAGGAUGCUUCUGGCGCGGCGCCUUCCGAGUUCCCUGGAACGGGACGCCGGAGAGGGUGAGAGCCCCGUACGGUUGGACGCCUAGCCUUUGUGAAGCUCCUUCGACGAGUCGAGUAGUUUGGGAAUGCUGCUCAAAAUGGGAGGUAAAUUUCUUCUAAAGCUAAAUACCGGCCAGAGACCGAUAGCGCACAAGUAGAGUGAUCGAAAGAUGAAAAGCACUUUGAAAAGAGGGUCAAACAGUACGUGAAAUUGUUGAAAGGGAAGCGCCCGUGGCCAGACUUGUGCCCCGCGGACCACCCGGCGCCCUCAGCGCCGGUGCACUCCUCGGGGCGCAGGCCAGCAUCGGUUUUCCUAGGGGGAUAAAGGCGGCGGGAACGUGGCUCCCUCGGGAGUGUUAUAGCCCGCCGCGCCAUGCCCCUGGGGGGACCGAGGACCGCGCUUCGGCAAGGAUGCUGGCGUAAU
rnacentral:rRNA from 1 species